rnacentral:rRNA from 1 species
GAUGAACGCUGGCGGCGUGCCUAAUACAUGCAAGUCGAGCGAACAGACGAGGAGCUUGCUCCUCUGAUGUUAGCGGCGGACGGGUGAGUAACACGUGGAUAACCUACCUAUAAGACUGGGAUAACUUCGGGAAACCGGAGCUAAUACCGGAUAACAUGUUGAACCGCAUGGUUCAACAGUGAAAGACGGUCUUGCUGUCACUUAUAGAUGGAUCCGCGCCGCAUUAGCUAGUUGGUAAGGUAACGGCUUACCAAGGCAACGAUGCGUAGCCGACCUGAGAGGGUGAUCGGCCACACUGGAACUGAGACACGGUCCAGACUCCUACGGGAGGCAGCAGUAGGGAAUCUUCCGCAAUGGGCGAAAGCCUGACGGAGCAACGCCGCGUGAGUGAAGAAGGUCUUCGGAUCGUAAAACUCUGUUAUUAGGGAAGAACAAAUGUGUAAGUAACUAUGCACGUCUUGGCGGUACCUAAUCAGAAAGCCACGGCUAACUACGUG